AUACAUGUUACCGUGGCUUUGCCUCUAUCCACACAUUGAAUAUGGCUGUCCAAGAUAAGCAUGCAGAAUGUGCACACCAAACAUAUCCCUGCUUUACUAGGUGUUGGUAGAUUUCCUAAAUUAGGUUGUUUCUACUUAUUUCAUAUACCCUGUAUUAGCUCCUAAGAAUAUGGAUAUUUUCAGGGAGCAGACUCCAUGCUACUUGGGACCCC